CUUCCGGGUGUGGAUGCGCUCCUUUUCGCUGGCUUCCGCAUCAGGGACCGGCUUCCCCAGCUCAGCACCCUGGAGGCAGUGCUUCCAGCCUCAGGUUCCUGCAGUGCAGGUGAGAAAACUGAAGCACAAAGACGGUGUCACUGAGACAUGAACCCUCUCCCUUGUCAGAGGCACUAGGUCCGAGGGGUUUUCUUUCCACCUCGGUGGAUUGUUUUCAUCUCCCGUGUCAUCUUUUGAAGAUCUCUGGAACAACUGUCCUCCUGAUGCACCGGCGGACCUCCUGAUGUGCUGCCUGCCCCAGGGUCAUGGCGGGGCUUACAGGGCUGCUUGCACUUGUCCUGGCUGGUGAGGGAAGUAGCCAGCAGCACAGUGCUCAGGCCCUGCCACUUCUUACUGUGUGAGCCUUCAGAGCCUCGGUUUCCUUAACUGUAAGAUGGGAACAAACUUGGUCCCCCUCAUAGGGCAGUGAUGAGGAACUAGUAUUAUCUCCAUUUUGUAGUUGAUGAAAUGGAGGCCCACAACGUGAGGACAGGACAGGAGCAAGUUGAGAACUUGGGAAAAGGAUGCUGUUCCUUUCCUAGGAUGCUAGCCUCUCUGCACUGAGUUCCCCUGGAGAAGCAGGAUUGGUUAGAGAAUCUGGGAGGCAGAUCCCUUUUCUUUGUAACUGUGUUUUCUGGUGUCCUCUGCCCAGUCUGUUCUACCUCCUCGCUGUUCUUCUGUGCACUGGGACUCCCAAGUUUCGCCCCAGCCCUGUGGCCCUGCCCUUCCUGCACGUUUCCUCUCCAGGCAAGGCCCCAUUCACUGCACAAGCCUAACAUUUAGUAGGUGCUAACAGAAUGUGCCACUAACUAAACACCACCACAUGAACCCUGUGUUCUUAGACCCUCCCUGCCAACCGUGACCUUCACCCCAAAGCAUCACCCCACCUCAGCCUGCCCCUCUCCAUCAUUCCACACUCAUACACAGCUCAGGCUGUGGCUCACCCUUCAGUGGGGUAAAGUUCCAGACUCUGUAAUCUGGCAUUCAACACCUUUGCUUGCUCCCUUCUAGUGAAAAGAUGCUCCCCGCUUGGCAACAUUGCGAAUUCCAUAUUCACAAUGUUGUCGUCAUCUUCCUACAGAAGCCACACAGGAGGACCUCUAGUUAUUAUUUUUAUUCUGUCUCGAGCAGACAACACUCUCUUUGAGCCUCCCUCUGAAUGUCCUGUACACAAGAAAAGGGAGAACAAAUCACUGCUGAGCAGCUGUCCUGAGUCACGUGAGGCACAGGGCGUCAUUCACCCCAAUUUAUAGAUAGGAAAACUGAGGGUCCCAAGUAAGGUGAUCUCCCACAGCCAGUGAAGGGGGCUGAGCCAGAGGGGGACUGAGCCAGGAUUCAAACCCAGCUCUGCUGACUUUGGCAUCCCUGCCCUUGAAUCUGCUCCCAAAGGCAUCCCAAUCAGACAUUUCACAAUCAGUCCCAGAAUCUCAUCUGUGCUCCAUCAGGUGUGGCUGAUAGACUGUCCCCAACCCUGGAUCUCCUGACAGCUUACCCGCAGAGGAACCUUUGCCAGCCCAGCCCCUCUGGCAAAGCUCUGGACACUGGGCUCUGUCCAGCUAAGGGGCUGGGUCUCCACGAGUGUGAAUGGCAUUUGAGCUGCUCACACCGCUAUGCCACUGACUGCGCCUAUCUGCACAGGCGCUGGGGGGCCUGGUGGAGAUGCUGGCCCUGUAGGUCAGAGAACCAAAUCAGCUGGGCCCAGGAGAGCAGGGGCUCCUCGUGGUUCCCCUGGCUUCUUUUGGACUUCUUUCCUAGGGUCCAUAACCUUCCUAGGGUCACUGCCCUUUCCCUCCUCAGGUCCCCUCCCCUGUCCCAGGGUUCCUAGACCUCCCCAGGACCUUUGCUGCACACUCUGCCUCCUACUCAUGCUCCUUCUAGGGGGCUCUGCUUCCUUGUGCCUAACCCCUGGUCACUCUGUCCUUCCACCAACAAAAUGCCUCACUGGAUCAUGGAGGUGCCCACUGGCUUGUGAGAGAGAGUGUCUGGCUUGGGGAUAAUCGCCCUCCCUAAGUCUCUUCCUUACUCCUCACUGAACACUGCACCCCUUUAUGUCUGUCUGUCUGUAGACUUUCUCUUCCAUCUGUCCCCCCAUCUCUCCUCCUCCUUGCCCCGGUUUCUCUAUCUCUGUCCCUUCUCAAGCUCUCAUCCUUACAUAACGCUCGGAGGUGGACUCUAUUACCACCCACAUUUUAGAUAUAAAGACCCAGAGGCUUGGAGAUUCUGGGUGGCCUGCCAAGGCGUCACAGCUGGGAACUGGCUGCGCCCAGCCGGCGCGCGCUAGUUCCCAGCGGCAGAGUGUGGCUCUCUGCGCCGCCCGCCCUCGGCCCCUUGCUCCCUGCUCCGCCCACCAACCCAGGC